rnacentral:tRNA from 1 species
GCCGGGGUGGCGAAACUGGCAGACGCACAGGACUUAAAAUCCUGGGUCCUGAAAAGGACGUGUGGGUUCGAUCCCCGCCCCCGGCA